rnacentral:rRNA from 1 species
GGGUGAGUAACACGUGGGUAACCUGCCCAUCAGAAGGGGAUAACACUUGGAAACAGGUGCUAAUACCGUAUAACACUAUUUUCCGCAUGGAAGAAAGUUGAAAGGCGCUUCUGCGUCAUGAUGGAUGGACCCGCGGUGCAUUAGCUAGUUGGUGAGGUAACGGCUCACCAAGGCAACGAUGCAUAGCCGACCUGAGAGGGUGAUCUGGCCACACUGGGACUGAGACACGGCCCAGACUCCUACGGGAGGCAGCAGUAGGGAAUCUUCGGCAAUGGACGAAAGUCUGACCGAGCAACGCCGCGUGAGUGAAGAAGGUUUUCGGAUCGUAAAACUCUGUUGUUAGAGAAGAACAAGGAUGAGAGU